GACGAACGCUGGCGGCGUGCUUAACACAUGCAAGUCGAACGAUGAACCGGGUGCUUGCACCUGGGGAUUAGUGGCGAACGGGUGAGUAACACGUGAGUAACCUGCCCUGGACUCUGGAAUAACCCCGAGAAAUCGGAGCUAAUACCGGAUAGGACCUUUCCUCGCAUGAGGUUUGGUGGAAAGUUUUUCGGUCUGGGAUGGACUCGCGGCCUAUCAGCUUGUUGGCGAGGUAAUGGCUCACCAAGGCGUCGACGGGUAGCCGGCCUGAGAGGGUGACCGGCCACACUGGGACUGAGACACGGCCCAGACUCCUACGGGAGGCAGCAGUGGGGAAUAUUGCACAAUGGGCGCAAGCCUGAUGCAGCAACGCCGCGUGCGGAAUGACGGCCUUCGGGUUGUAAACCGCUUUUAGUAGGGAAGAAGGGCUUCGGCUUGACGGUACCUGCAGAAAAUGGACCGGCUAACUACGUGCCAGCAGCCGCAGUAAAAC
rnacentral:rRNA from 1 species